rnacentral:rRNA from 1 species
ACGAUCGACACCUACGGGAGGAGCAGUGAGGAAUAUUGGUCAAUGGGCGCUAGCCUGAACCAGCCAAGUAGCGUGAAGGAUGAAGGCUCUAUGGGUCGUAAACUUCUUUUAUAUAAGAAUAAAGUGCAGUAUGUAUACUGUUUUGUAUGUAUUAUAUGAAUAAGGAUCGGCUAACUCCGUGCUAGCAGCCGCGGUAAUCUGAGCGGGCUGGCAAGGC